GAUGAUCCUUGUCUGCUACCCUUCUUUUAUAUCCUGGGGCUAUUUUGUUGUUUAGUCGAGUGUGCCCGCCUUGUUUCAUUUGCAUUAUCUUUGAUACUUAUGUGGGUGAGCACCCAGUAUUCAUUAUAUUAGCCUUUUCCUGGGGCUAUUUUGUUGUUUAGUCGAGUGUGCCCACCUUGUUUCAUUUGCAUUACCCUUCUUUUAUAUUACAG